UACGUAGGGGGCAAGCGUUGUCCGGAUUUAUUGGGCGUAAAGAGCGUGUAGGCGGCCAUACAGGUCCGUUGUGAAAACUCGAGGCUUAACCUCGAGACGUCGAUGGAAACCGUAUGGCUAGAGUCCGGAAGAGGAGAGUGGAAUUCCUGGUGUAGCGGUGAAAUGCGCAGAUAUCAGGAAGAACACCCGUGGCGAAGGCGGCUCUCUGGGACGGUACUGACGCUGAAACGCGAAAGCGUGGGGAGCGAACAGG
rnacentral:rRNA from 1 species